rnacentral:rRNA from 1 species
GAUGAACGCUGGCGGCGUGCCUAAUACAUGCAAGUCGAGCGAACAGAUGAGGAGCUUGCUCCUCUGACGUUAGCGGCGGACGGGUGAGUAACACGUGGCUAACCUACCUAUAAGACUGAGAUCACUUCGGGAAACCGGAUCUAAUACCGGAUAAUAUAUUGAACCGCAUGGUUCAAUAGUGAAAGACGGUUUUGCUGUCACUUAUAGAUGGAUCCGCGCCGGAUUAGCUAGUUGGUAAGGUAACGGCUUACCAAGGCAACGAUGCGUAGCCGACCUGAGAGGAUGAUCAGCCACACUGGAACUGAGACACGGUCCAGACUCCUACGGGAGGCAGCAGUGGGGAAUAUUCGGCAAUGGGCGAAAGCCUGAUCGAGCAAUGCCGCGUGAGUGAUGAAGGUCUUCGGAUUGUAAAACUCUUUUAUUAGGGAAGAAGAAAAGUGAAUGAAAAUCUUGCUGUCUUGACGUUACCAAAAGAGAAAGCAACGGCUAACUACGUG